GGCAGAUCAAUGUGGGUUUCAGAGUCUGCCUUCUCUACAAGCAGGGUUUUGAACUUAACUCUCUGGAGGGACCGUUAAUCUAAAUCACUUAUUUACUUGAAGAGGGACAGAGUUUGAAGGUUAUAGAGACCUUCAAGCCAGCAUGUAAUGAACAGGUUUAUUCAGCCUGAAUAGAAGUAGAUUGGCAUGGAUGCCAUCACGCUGCUCCUGCCGUUCUUGGUUCUUUGAUCUCUAGGAAGCCCAGAUUGACCCACACUCAGUUGUGCAGAUGAAAGGCUCCUGCUAGGGUGCAAUUCCCAAGAAUUUGGAGUUGAGGUCCUGUCUUCCCAAGGAACUAAAAAGUCGCUUCUCCACUCUUGUGAUGGAGACAUCAGGCAGGAAAUUUACCGAGUAUCUUGGCUGGGAAACUGACCCUUUUUAAUCUUGUGCACAGAGGAUGAUAAAACGUAUACCUUCAGCAAGUUAUAACACCAUCUCUCAAGUUGAAAAGGAUCUGCAAGUUGAAAAUCCCAGCCUUUCAAACCAUUUUCCAACUUGAGUUAGUCAAUUCUAACGGUGCAUUUCACCACUUUGUUGUGAUUCAAUGUCAGAAACUGUGGAAAAAAGAAGAGGAAAAAACUUUUCAUUAUUGGCAUUCUGGGGAAUUAAAGACUAGGGGAGAGAGAGCUACAGCAGCCGUCCGACAUAGAUUGUUUAUUUAAUUCCUCCAAUUUGUUCACCUUAAUGAAACACCAAAAGGUUUGAGCGAGCGGUAAUUAACAAGAGAGAGCCUGCUUAAUGAAACCAGUACAAGAUGAUAUUUGUUUCAAGGAUCGAUAAAAGACUGUGAGUGAAGAUCAUCCUGGCAUCAUUCAGGAAAA